GACGAACGCUGGAGGAGUGCUUAACACAUGCAAGUCGAACGAAGUGGCGAACGGGUGAGUAACGCGUAAUCAACCUGCCCUUCAGAGGGGGACAAAAGUUGGAAACGACUGCUAAUAACGCAUACUGAAGGAGGGGAUUGCGUCUGAGUAGCUAGUUGGAGGGGUAACGGCCCACCAAGGCGAUGCUCAGUAGCCUGUCUGAGAGGAUGGACGGCCACAUUGGGACGGAGGCACGGCCCAGACUCCUACGGGAGGCAGCAGUGGGGAAUCUUCCGCAAUGGACGAAAGUCUGACGGAGCAACGCCGCGUGAGUGAUGACGGCCUUCGGGUUGUAAAGCUCUGUUAAUCGGGACGCGGUACCGGAAUAGAAAGCCACGGCUAACUACGUGCCAGCAGCCGCGGUAAUAC
rnacentral:rRNA from 1 species